GCCACAGAAGCGCAAUCGGGAAGCGCAUCGGAAUACGAAUCCGGAGGAUGCAGGUUCGAGUCCUGCCUGUGGUU
rnacentral:tRNA from 1 species